rnacentral:lncRNA from 1 species
GGUGUCGUAUUACGUGCUUUCCUGCUCGAGAACGCGCCGGGCGUCUGGUUGUAGAAGGUAGUAUGGAGAUUCGCCGAUAGUCAAGCAGUCUAUCAGUUUUUGACUGCUGGAAUAUAAACGACUGCAACAAUGUACCGUAAAUCUAUACGGGUGCUCUUCGACUGCUUGUCGGAGUCCUUUUUGCCCCAGCCGGUAGGUCUCUAGACGUUACAGAAAACCCCGUACAACCCAAACUGUUAACCUUCAAUACUCCUUUGUACUUACGAUCUUGUAUCCACUGACUGUCUUGUUAGAUUAACCCAAUAAAUUUCAUUCACUCCGCAUACUCAAUCCUAUAGAUACCCUUUUAAUCCUUCAAUCACAGACGUAACUCUAUUUCACAAAACAGUCAAGAGUAUUCAAACCCACUUCAUUUAAAAAUCCCGAUUCACUAGUACAACACUGACUUCAGCAGCGAUAGCCUCAGUCUUCCCCAAAACUCUACGAAGAAGAAAAAUCCAAAUCCUAUGUCUUUCCUUCCCCGACCCGAAGCAUGAAGCUCGUCUCUCUAAUUCCCCUUGAUCUUUAAAAACCUCCCAUUCCCCCCAACCUUAUCCUCUGAAUUUCUUCAAUCUUCCGUCUUAGAUCCGGAAUUGGCUCCCACCUCAAGCUUUCUCCUCCGUUUUUACCUUUAAGAAAUCCAUUUACCGAAAACAACGUUCCCUGAGACGGCACAGAGAAUAGGACAGCCUGAAACAGAAUCGAACCCCGUAAUCGGGACUUCAUUGAGUCGCCCGACCAAUUCAGGUCCUAUAUUGGGAAAGAUGCCCGUAAUAACCUGGAUGUUCCCGUAAUUGGGUCAAAUUGGUCCUCGCGUCAGAUUGGCUAAGAUCCGUAGUAAGACCUCGAUUUCCCGUAACUAGACUGCAUUGGGUUGCCCCACCAAUACAGGUCUCAUAUUGGGUAAGAGGACCCGGAUUGGAUUAUCGAAAUUGGAUCCAAUUGGCUCCUCGAACCCGUCGUGUGAAUUGGUCCUUCUCUUCCUACUGACUCCCGUUAUUCGAAUCGAACGGGGCAUUCCAGUAUGCCCCGGCUGACUGUAACGGAGUCACUGAACCUGACCACUCAGUACUUGUACUGGAGUUGGUCGAUGCUCCCAAUAUUCGAGAUAACUGAAUAUUAAUAAAAUCCCCCUUUCUUUUUAUUUUCACUGUAUACUCGUGUUACAACACGACACCGGUAGGUCUCUAGACGUUACAGAGAACCCCGUACAACCCAAACUGUUAACCUUCAAUACUCCUUUGUACUUACGAUCUUGUAUCCACUGACUGUCUUGUUAGAUUAACCCAAUAAAUUUCAUUCACUCCGCAUACUCAAUCCUAUAGACACCCUUUUAAUCCUUCAAUCACAGACAUAACUCUAUUUCACAAAACAGUCAAGAGUAUUCAAACCCACUUCAUUUAAAAAU